UGGAUCCGUCAGAGCCAAUUGACAAAUAUUUGUGUCAGUAGUGAACACCAAGUCAAGAAAACAAUUGUUUUGGUUUGGCAAAUUGCAAACUUGCAACAGUCCAACAGAAAGAAAACUGUCAACAACAGCUAUCUCGGUUUGCGAGUUGAUUCGGUUUGGUUCAAAUCACCGAGUACGACGACGUCAUCAUUUGGGCCAAUACAUUCAAUUACUGAUUCGACGAACGAGCAGAAAGAGCGAUAACGAUCAGCACUAGAGCCACUGCGUGUUCUGUGCUGGCAACGUGAUUGUGGACAGCAAUCAAGACCCCACCGCCGGAUUUUUUUUUCACUAUUAGAAAUAUUUCUAUCGCAGCGAUAUACGUUAAAGUGCGGAGGAAAAAGCGACCUAUCUGUUACAGUUGAGUCCAAGUUUUGGAGCAUUUAACAAAACUGUAGAAGUCAAUGAGCGCGAAUUCAAAACUGGGUCAGAUGGAUGGUUAUUACUGUGUGCUGGUAAGUGGUGUAAGGAAAUUGUCAGGAUUGGACUCGACAUCUCUACAUUCGGCUCGAAAUGGCAUCGACACAGGUUCAUUCACAAAUUCACGAAAAUAAAUACCUUUUUGCCAGCUCGA